rnacentral:rRNA from 1 species
AUUGAACGCUGGCGGCAGGCCUAACACAUGCAAGUCGAGCGGAUGAAGGGAGCUUGCUCCUGGAUUCAGCGGCGGACGGGUGAGUAAUGCCUAGGAAUCUGCCUGUUAGUGGGGGAUAACGUCCGGAAACGGGCGCUAAUACCGCAUACGUCCUUAGGGAGAAAGUGGGGGAUCUUCGGACCUCACGCUAUCAGAUGAUCCUAGGUCGGAUUAGCUAGUUGGCGGGGUAAAGGCCUACCAAGGCGACGAUCCGUAACUGGUCUGAGAGGAUGAUCAGUCACACUGGAACUGAGACACGGUCCAGACUCCUACGGGAGGCAGCAGUGGGGAAUAUUGGACAAUGGGCGAAAGCCUGAUCCAGCCAUGCCGCGUGUGUGAAGAAGGUCUUCGGAUUGUAAAGCACUUUAAGUUGGGAGGAAGGGCAGUAAGUUAAUACCUUGCUGUUUUGACGUUACCAACAGAAUAAGCACCGGCUAACUUCGUG